GUGGGGAAUCUUCCGCAAUGGACGAAAGUCUGACGGAGCAACGCCGCGUGAGUGAUGAAGGUCUUCGGAUUGUAAAGCUCUGUUAAUCGGGACGAAAGAGCCUAGUGUGAAUAAUGCUAGGAAGUGACGGUACCGGAAUAGAAAGCCACGGCUAACUACGUGCCAGCAGCCGCGGUAAUACGUAGGUGGCAAGCGUUGUCCGGAAUUAUUGGGCGUAAAGCGCGCGCAGGCGGAUCUGCCAGUCUGUCUUAAAAGUUCGGGGCGUAACCCCGUGAUGGGAUGGAAACUACAGAUAUAGAGUAUCGGAGAGGAAAGUGGAAUUCCUAGUGUAGCGGUGAAAUGCGUAGAUAUUAGGAAGAACACCAGUGGCGAAGGCGACUUUCUGGACGAAAACUGACGCUGAGGCGCGAAAGCCAGGGGAGCGAACGGGAUUAGAAACCCUAGUAGUCC
rnacentral:rRNA from 1 species